GGGGGAGUAGCGAAGUGGCUAAACGCGGCGGACUGUAAAUCCGUUCCUUUCUGGUUCAGAGGUUCGAAUCCUCUCUCCCCCA
rnacentral:tRNA from 1 species